rnacentral:rRNA from 1 species
AAAUGUAAGAUCAACAUAGUCUGGUCCCGGCCAGAACGGUGUUAAUAAGUGAUUGGCUCAUUGCACAAGUUAUGAAUUUAAAAACCUGGUUCCGUCGCAAGAGCUAGGAAUAACACUGUCAACUGCAGCGAUAAUGCCUGAAAAACGUGUCCAUUUAGUAGCACAAAUACUAGAGUAUGGGGGAGUCCGCUCUAUUCAGGAGGGUUUUCCCUCUGUUGACCAUCGAGUUCGAGGGUUGAAUACUUAGGCUUCGGCUUCUGUUGAAAGCUUUAUCGGUGGCCGGGAAGAUAUGUUUCUAAUCUAUUAGCCAGACUAUUGGGUAAGGUCCAAUUUUCGGCUAUAAUGGAUACAGGGGAUCGGUGUCCGGGGCUGGAGAGAGAGCAAGAGAAACGGCUAUCACAGGUAAGGACGGCAGCAGGCGCGUAAAUUACCCAAUCCUAAUUCAGGGAGGUAGUGACAAGACGUAGCGACUUUGCACCAAAUCCUGUGAAGGUACCACUUAGUGGGGUGAAAUGGAUGGAGACUAAAGCUCUCCUUGAGAAGCAAUUAGAGGACACGUCUGGUGCCAGCACCCGCGGUAAUGCCAGCUCUAAAAGUGUAUAUUAAUACUGUUGUAGUUAAAACGCCCGUAGUUUACCUAAGGGGUUUGAUCACUCAUCUAAACAGGAGAUGUCUUUGUUGUGGUGUCAUUCGUGCCACUGCGCUUAGGCUAUUCUGGGCCUUGGCUCUUACCGCUGGUCAAUUUUUUUGACCAGCUCAAAGGGUAGGUGGGUGCUUCCGGCCUCGAUCCUCUCCAUUUUCUAUGGGGGGGCCUCUGGAACAACCGUAAACAAAUCAGCGUGUUCAAAGCAGGCUAGUGUAUGGGUUUUACCCUUUGCUUGAAUGAUUUAGCAUGGAAUUGUACUGAAGUUGGCGAGGUGUUUCACCAAGCCAGCGGUUGUAAUGAGACACUGGAAGAGGCUCCAAGUACUAUGGCGCGAGAGGUGAAAUUCAGUGACCGCCAUAUGACUAUCUAAUGCGAAAGCAGUUGUAGCCAGUACGUGUCUGUCAAUCAGGGACGAAAGUUGAGGGAUCGAAGAUGAUUAGAUACCGUCGUAGUCUCAACCGUAAACGAUACCAACACGAGAUUGGUAGUGAAACCAUAAUUAGAUCCUAUCAGCAUCCAAGGGAAACCGUUAAGUCUUUGGGUUCUGGGGGGAGUAUGGUCGCAAGGCUGAAACUUAAAGGAAUUGACGGAAAGGCACCACCAGGAGUGGAGUAUGCGGCUUAAUUCGACUCAACGCGGGGAAACUCACCAGGUUAGGAUGUGAAUAUGAUUGAGCGAUUGAAGUUCAUUCUUGAUUUAACAGA